CGCUGCGCCUAUCGUUGCUCCUGUUGCUGUGCUGCUCGUCCAGCCCUCGUUCUCUCUCUUCACGUUUCUCAGCCAAGCCAUUCGGCUAAGAACCAUCACAUCAACAUAAUUGCGAAUGCUUACCGAAAACUGGGCUGAGAAACGGCUGCACUCGAGGGUUUACCCAACGUCAGCGUUACCCCUGCCUCCGCAGAACGCCGGAGUCACAGACCAAGGAGCUCGUGCGGUCUGUGCAGUUCUCCGGCCUCGUCAUCGCUGUUGCCACACACGAAAGAGAGCACCGGACUCCCUCGCUCAUUCUUGCGCAGCUGCGAGGGCCGCGCAGAGGCAGCAGCGGAGGAGGGAGAGGGUAGACGACGGACAGCUGCUUGGUGGUCGGUGCUAUAUAUGAAAUACAUCAGCGCAUUCUGCGGCUGCCUCUUUUUCUCUUGGCUGGUGUGUUGAACAGCGUGUGAAGGCAAAUCGGACUGAAGGCGAAAGCGGCGCUUGCGUUGCACGGAGCUCGAGUGACUGAAGAAGAGAAGGCGAUUCACCAGCGCCUCAUUUCAUCACGCCUCUUUUUCCAGCCCCUCCUCCCCAUGCACAUGCAUAGCUGCGCAGAUCUGUGGUCAGGUUCGUGAUGCACAAGGAACGGAGGACAAGCUUCCUCACCCCCUCCACUCGUCCACCGUUUCUUGCGCUCUUCUUCUUUGCUACUUCAUCGCUCUCUUUUUCCUUUUCGCACGUAG
rnacentral:misc_RNA from 1 species